GGAGGCAGAGGGAGGUCCCUGGGGAAGGGUUUCUGCCACUCAUGCAUGGGUGGCCUGGGGUCCAAACUUGGGGUUUUAUACCAGGGCGUGUGAGCAAGGGGCUGCGGCCAGGGGCAGAGCAUUUGCAGACCGCGCGUAGGUCUGGACAGAGCAGGAAGACACCAAGGCUCUGCUUCCUCCCAGCUGUCAAGGCCCAAGGCAACAGGUCACCCCUUCUGAGUCCCUGAGAAAUUGGGAGGUGCUAGUGCAAGGGCACAAAGUUUCAGUUAUGCCAGAUGAACAAGUUCUGGAGUUCUGCUGUAUAAUACGGUGCCUGUAGUUAACAAUACUGUAUUGUGUGCUCAGAAUUUACUGAGGAUGGCUCCUAUCUUAAGUGUUCUUACCAUCCACACAAAGAAUGAUGAUAAUAGGAAUAAUAAUAAAUAAAGGAAUGAAUAGGUCGGGAGGACACCUUUGGAGUGACACAUAUGUUUACGGUGUAGAUUGUGGUGAUGGUUUCAUGGGUGUAAUCUGUCUCCAUACUCACAAAGUUGCAUGUAUUAAUCAUGUACAGCUUUCUGUAUGUCAAUGAUACCUUCAUAAAGUGGUUUAAAAAAAUAAAAUGGGGGGGAAUAUAGUCACUCCAAGUACUGAGCACAUUGCCUGUCACAGUAAAUAAGCAAAUAAAUGUAAUUAUGGUUUAAGCUUAGCUCAGGACUGAGAGUGGGUACUUGGCAGGUGGUGUCUGUGGCCAGCUGCUCCGCCCGGGCUCAGCACUGCUUCUGUGAAGCACAAGGGCUGCCCAAACGCAGAGAGCAGCUCCAGGUGCACACUCCUGACAGAGAAGGCGGGCUGGUCGCAGACACCUUGUUUUGGUUACUUGCUAUUCCUUCCCCCGCACACCCUUUCAUUGUCCUGGUCCUUAACCUUUAACUCCUGUAAGAAGCUGGGUUUGCAGAUUUCUGAAGACAUUUUGCAGUGUGCAGACCUGUUUCACCUUUGUUCCCCAUCCUUGGGUCUGGAGAUAAAGGCGAGAAGACAGUACUCUAUGAAAGCAACAAUCAUAAACCUCAGGACCAAAAAUGGGGUGAAUGUUUCAUGGGUAAAGACCUUUUUCGUAACGAGUGAAGGUGAAGUGAGCAGACUGUGCAGCUCAGAUUCCAGCUGCGUCCCCGUCCCUGCCCUCGGGAGUGUGCCGGAAGGACCCCAGAGAGCUGGCCCACUGGGAUGAGCUUACAGCCUUGGGGCCCCAAAGUGCAAGGAUGGUCAGCAUUCCUGGUGCUCUGGGUUCAGCAAGACCUGACUGAGGGACUCUCUUUUCUGGUUGUUGGCUGAGUAUGUAAUGUCCACUCUGGGUCAUCUAAGGGCCGAGCCCAAGUACUCUGUUCCUGCUGUGACCCGUGCUUCUGCUACCACAUACUGCACAAGAGGUGGAAAGUAGGAACUGCAGCCCAGCAAGCCAUGGACCCAGGCAAUCCUAAAACUGCAAAGUCACCUGUGUUGAUUCCAGCCAGCGUUUAGGGACACGGGUUCGAGACCUGGUCCGGGAAAAUCCCACAUGCCGCAGAGCAGCUAUGCCCGUGUGCCACAACUACUGAGCCCCCACGCCUAGAGCCCGUGCUCCGCAACAAGAGAAGCCACCGCAAUGAGAAGCCCGUGCACCGCAGUGAAGAGAAGCCCCCCUCACCGCAACUAGAGAAAUCCCGUGUGCAGCAAUGAAGACCUAACG